rnacentral:rRNA from 1 species
GUCUCUUUGUACUAAUAAAAUAAAGAGUCCGGCCUGCUCAAUGAUGAUUUAUCAUUAAAUAGCUGCGGAAUCCUAACCGUGUGAAAGUAGCAUAAUCAUUUGCCUCUUAAUUGGUGGCUGGAAUGAAUGGUACGAUGAAAAUAGAGCUGUCUCUAGUGUGUUUUUUUGAAAUUACCUUUUAGGUGAAAAGGCCUAAAUGUAUCUAUAAGACAAGAAGACCCUAUCGAGCUUUAAGUUAGUUGUAUAAAUAAUUUAAUUGACUUUUGGUUGGGGCAACCAGGGGGCAUAAGAAAUCCCUCUUUUUAAUAAAUUACUAACUAGUAAAGAUCCAGUUAUAUUGAUCAGGGGA